rnacentral:sRNA from 1 species
GCGGACGGCCCUGGGUUCAAAUCCCGGCGCGUCCAUC